AGUGAACGCUGGCGGUAGGCCUAACACAUGCAAGUCGAACGGCAGCACAGUAAGAGCUUGCUCUUACGGGUGGCGAGUGGCGGACGGGUGAGGAAUACAUCGGAAUCUACUUUUUCGUGGGGGAUAACGUAGGGAAACUUACGCUAAUACCGCAUACGACCUACGGGUGAAAGCAUGGGAUCUUCGGACCUUGCGCGAUUGAAUGAGCCGAUGUCGGAUUAGCUAGUUGGCGGGGUAAAGGCCCACCAAGGCGACGAUCCGUAGCUGGUCUGAGAGGAGGAGAGGCGACAGGGGGAGUGAGACACGGUCGAGGAUCCGACGGGAGGCAGCAGUCGGGAAUCGUACGGAAGGGACGAGAGUCUGACGGAGCAAUGACGAGUGAGUGAUGAAGGUUUGCGGAUCCGAAAACUCUGUUGUGAGGGAAGAAGAAGUACGAGAGGAACUGCUCGUACCGUGACGGUAACUAAUAAGAAAGCCACGGCUAGCUACGUG
rnacentral:rRNA from 1 species